UACGGGGGGUGCGAGCGUUGUCCGGAAUCACUGGGCGUAAAGGGCGCGUAGGUGGUUUGAUAAGGGUGUGGUGAAAGUCCGGGGCUCAACCCCGGAUCUGCCGUGCCGACUGUCAAACUCGAGGACUGUAGAGGCAGACGGAAUUCCGGGUGUAGCGGUGGAAUGCGUAGAGAUCCGGAGGAAGACCGGUGGCGAAGGCGGUCUGCUGGGCAGUUUCUGACACUGAGGCGCGUCAGCGUGGGGAGCAAACAGG
rnacentral:rRNA from 1 species